rnacentral:rRNA from 1 species
ACAAGGAUUCCCCUAGUAACGGCGAGUGAAGAGGGAAGAGCCCAAGUUUGAAAGCUGGCGUCUUCGGCGUCCGCAUUGUAAACUCGAGAAGCGUUUUCCGCGCCGGACCAAGCUCAAGUCCCUUGGAAUAGGGCAUCAUAGAGGGUGAGAGUCCCGUACUUGGCUUGGAGUCCCCGGGGCUUUGUGAUACGCUCUCCAAGAGUCGAGUUGUUUGGGAAUGCAGCUCAAAAUGGGUGGUAAAUGCCAUCUAAGGCUAAAUAUCGAGGAGAGACCGAUAGCGAACAAGUACCGUGAGGGAAAGAUGAAAAGAACUUUGGAAAGAGAGUUAAACAGUACGUGAAAUUGCCGGAAGGGAAGGGUAGGGAGUCAGAUAUGCUGUGCGGAUUCAGCCUUGUCUUUGGACUUGGUGUAUUUUCGUAUUGGCAGGCCAGCAUCGGUUUGUGCCGCUGGAUAUAGGCUUGGGGAAUGUGGCUUUGUCUUCGGUCAAAGUGUUAUAGCCCCUUGCUGAGUACAGCGGCAUGGACCGAGGCACGCAGCGCACCCUCUGGGCGGGCCCUCGGGCACCUUUGCGCUUAGGAUGCUGGCUUAAUGGCUCUCUGCCACC